GGGAGCGGCAAGGUGCCGGUGUGCCUACUGGUCUUCAAAACCAGAUUGGGGGCCGAACAAGUCCCCGGGUGGGUUCGACUCCCAUGCGCUCCCGCCA
rnacentral:tRNA from 1 species